UGUAAUUUUAUAAUUAAUCUCUCACACUCGGUCAUCCAGAUGGGAUAAGACACAAACCAUUUCGAUUCCUUCUUCCCACUCUCCUUGCCAUCGUAAUCGUCUCCGCCGGUUUUCUGAUCCAUGAGUCAUGAGGGUUGUAUUAUACAUCUAGUGAAGAAUUGCAGAACUAUCAUUGGUUUGAACCUAAAUGGCUGCAAGGUAGCUGAAAGUUAUCAAGACUUAAAAAGAGUCACUGAAUAAUAUCACUAGGUGUGUUAAGAUCACAGAUGAUGGAUUACUUAAAGUGCUACAGAUGUGUUAUACCAUCCAGAAGCAUAAUUCUAUUUUAUCUGGCUAAAAAUAUUGAAGAUCCAGCAGUUGUAAGUUCUUGACCUGAUCAUGAAUAUUUUGCAGAUUCACAGACAAGGCCUACAAGAAGAUAUCUCUUUUGCUUGAUCCAAGUUGCUUAGAUCUAUGUUUAAUACACGUUGGAGAGGUAACAGUUGUUGGUGCGAAGGGAAAUUUAGGGCGUUUCAUCAAUAACUGCCGCCUUACUGAAAAGGAUCAGGAGUCGAUUUAUGACUACAACUAUGUGAGGGUUUUUGCUGCUGCUGCUGCCAAAAAGUGUUAUUGUGGGUCAUCACAUUGCCGAGGCUAGGAGAUCCUUUGAACGGCGAUGUAAUUGUUCAAAGUUGCUCAGAUGAAGAGUACCCUGAAAUUGUGCAGGCAAAUCUGGAAUAGCAACUGCCUUCUUCAGUGAGAGCAAUGCAUCACUGGCUAGGCAGCUCGCUGAGCUGAUGCAAGAAGCCAAUCAAGAGGUGCCUGAUUGGCUCACAAGAUACGCUUCACGUGCUUCAUUUGGCGGUGGUAAGAAACGGUCUGGUGGCCAGACGGGAGGGAAUGUUGAGCUCAGCUCUCAUGCUUCUCAAGUAGUUCCUCUUGGUUUUCUUGUGGACAGUCAAGCUCAAGAGCUCGUGCAGAACUCCCACAGCUCGUUUCUCCAUGAGAUCUGUGGGAGACAGAUCAUGUAUGUCAUAACAAUAUUGCAACCAGCGUGUGUGCUGUCUUUAGCAUAUAUAUAUAUAUUCACUGCUCUUAGUAUUUAUGUAAGGUAUCGAAGAAAGUAGAUGAAGUAUGUGUAGGGGAGGUGAGAAUACUCCAUCAUAAAUCUCUCAGAACCUUGUAUUUGCUUUUGAUCA